rnacentral:rRNA from 1 species
CAGUAGCCACGGUAAUACGGAGGGCGCGAGCGUUACCCGGAUUUACUGGGCGUAAAGGGCGUGUAGGCGGCCUGGGGCGUCCCACGUGAAAGGCCACGGCUCAACCGUGGAGGAGCGUGGGAUACGCUCAGGCUAGAGGGUGGGAGAGGGUGAUGGAAUUCCCGGAGUAGCGGUGAAAUGCGCAGAUACCGGGAGGAACGCCGAUGGCGAAGGCAGCCACCUGGUCCACUUCUGACGCUGAGGCGCGAAAGCGUGGGGAGCAAACCGGAUUAGAGACCCGCGUAGUCCCUGUCUCUUAUAC